rnacentral:rRNA from 1 species
AUACCCUAUUAUUUUUAAUGUAAAGAAUUAAAGCUUGAGUAAUAUUAGUUAUGAUCUUGAAACUUAAAGAAUUUGGCGGUAUUAUAGUCUAUUUAGAGGAAUCUGUUAUGUAAUCGAUAGUCCACGUUGAACCUUACUUAUAUAAAUUUCUUGUAUACCGCUGUUUAAUGAGUAUACUUUUAGGUAAUUUUCAGGAUAAAAUAAUAAUUAGUAUUUCAAGUCAAGGUGCAGUAAUAUAUAAGUUAAAUAAUGGAUUACAAUAAAAUGUAUUUAAAUGGAUAAUUUUUGUAAAAGAAUAUUGAAGGUGGAUUUAAUUGUAACUUUGUAAAGAUUAUAAGAUUGAUAAUAAGCUCUAUAAUAUGCACACAUCGCCC